ACCCACCCUCAGUCUGACUCUGCUGUGUCUGGCCAUGCUGGUGGGUGUGGUCAGAGUGGCUGAAUACCGCAACCACUGGGCCGACGUCCUCGCUGGAUACUUCACCGGCGGAGCCAUCGCUGUCACUUUCUGGUGACGUGUGUGAUCAACAACUUCCAACAGACAAAGCCCCCACCCCCGCUGGUGCGACCCCAGCGUCCUGAGUCUGUCCUGGGCAUGCCCAUGGUGGCGCUGCCCUGCAUAGAGAGUCCACUUGAAAAGUUAAGUGGCACUCAGACUCCAAGGGGAUAUUCCAUUCACUGAGAUCACAUGACCAUC